UGUGUGUGUGUGUGUGUGUGUGUGUGUGUGUGUGUGUGUGUGUUUACGAGUGCUGUGGCCUACUGUAUGUGCAUCAGUGAAUAGUAUGUGUGUUGUGAUAAUGAUGUUAAAGAGAGUGUGUGUUGUGAUGAGGUUAGAGAGAGUGUGUGUUGUGAUGAGGUUAGAGAGAGUAUGUGUUGUGAUGAGGUUAGAGAGAGUGUGUGUUGUGAUGAGGUUAGAGAGAGGGUGUGUUGUGAUGAGGUUAGAGAGAGUGUGUGUUGUGAUGAGGUUAGAGAGAGUGUGUGUUGUGAUGAGGUUAGAGAGAGUGUGUGUUGUGAUGAGGUUAGAGAGAGGGUGUGUUGUGAUGAGGUUAGAGAGAGUGUGUGUUGUGAUGAGGUUAGAGAGAGGGUGUGUUGUGAUGAGGUUAGAGAGAGUGUGUUGUAAUGAGGUUAGAGAGAGUGUGUUGUAAUGAGGUUAGAGAGAGUGUGUGUUGUGAUGAGGUUAGAGAGAGUGUGUGUUGUGAAGAUGUUAGAGAGGGUGUGUUGUAUUGUGGUGGAAUGAGAAUCUAGAUAGUUUCCCAAGCCAAGACCAUGGGCCUCAGGUAAGCUAAACUCUUGUGUUGUCUGUAAUGGCUCUGUCCUCUGUGCCCUCUGUUCUUCUCCCAGUGUCCUCUAAAGGCCCCUCCUCUCUGCAGUGCCCUGGCUCCUGGCCCACAACAGGUUCCCCGGCCACUCAUCUCACACACUGUCUCAUUAAGCUAUCACCUGCCUGCCCGCCUGCCCGUCGCCUAGUUGGCUGACACUGUGCUGGGACCUCCGUCCGCCAUGCCCCCGAGGCUAGCGCCUGCUCCCGCCACCGGUCACGAGAUACGCCUCUGUCUCGUGAUGUAUCCCCAUACAGGAGCCUGAAACAGAACCCCACUGUUGGGCCGCUGCCUCUCCUGUCCUGGUCACCCCGGCUACUUAAUGUAAUUACAGAAAGGGAAGCUAGCCAGGUCUCAACAUGCAGUCAGGGACUAUGUUAAAAAUGAUACCCUAUACAGUGCACUACUUUUGACCAGGGGUAGUGCACUAUAUAGGUAAUAGGGUACGAUUUCAGAUGCAAACAGGCAGUCAGUUCACCAGUCAGUCUACGCUGCCUGGACACCCUCACCCUGGCCCUGUCACAGCAUUACUGAGACGGUUGGAAAAUGCACCGUCACUCCACUCCUCAUUUGAGGUCCCGGUGGCAAACACACAGGGCUCCCAUUCAUAAAAGCCUUUCUGAUGGAAAACCCAAAUAGAGUUGCUGGGAUUAAGUUUCAGCUGCUGCGUGUGUUAGAGACAAACUCCAAGAGGAGGGACCUGCGGUGGUGGAGUAACUGACAAAUGAGGCAGGUAGGCCUGAGGAAGGAAACACUUCAGCUACUUAAUAUGGCUGUCAUCCCUCAGAUUACUGUGUUGUACUUGACUUGAAGAUUGCUCACAACAACCUCAAUGUUUAUUUAAGACAAGCUAUAUCCCUUCUGAUAAAACUAGAACCAGAGCCAAACUGUAUCAGAGCCCAAUUCAAUCCCCAAAGUUCAGCUUUAUAACGUUCCCGCUUUAGCGGAGACUGCAUUCGUGGCUCUAUCGGAAAUGACCUUCACAUUUCUAUAGCUGAAUCAGCUUUCCAUAUUGAAUAGUUCAAACUAACCUUUCUGUAGUCCAAGAUGAACUCUUAAUUAAGGAGCCUACCUUUACUCCUUCAGGUCCAAGGACCUUCUGUUAUCUUCUGAGGUAGACUGGCUCAAAACAGCCAAAUACUCUAUUUAAAUGUGAAUCGAUUAUUAAUAGCGAUCCGGUUCUAGAAACAUUAAGCCAUUUACUUACUCAUUUCACAAAUACAAAAUAUAGAAUUACUGUACAUCACAGGAGGCUGCUGAGCGGAUGUCGGCUCAUAAUGAUGGUUGGAAUGGCGCGGAUGGAAUGGCAUCAAACCCCUGGAAACCAUGUGUUUGGUUGGUGGUUGAAGAUAUCCCUCUAGUGGUGUGGGGGCUGUGCUUUGGCAAAGUGGGUGGGGUUAUAUCCUUCCUGUUUGGCCCUGUCCGGGGGUGUCCACGGAUGGGGCCACAGUGUCUCCUGACCCCUCCUGUCUCAGCCUCCAGUAUUUAUGCUGCAGUAGUUUAUGUGUCGGGGGGCUAGGGUCAGUUUGUUAUAUCUGGAGUACUUCUCCUGUCCUAUUCGGUGUCCUGUGUGAAUCUAAGUGUGCAUUCUCUAAUUCUCUCCUUCUCUCUUUCUUUCUCUUUCUCGGAGGACCUGAGCCCUAGGACCAUGCCCCAGGACUACCUGACAUGAUGACUCCUUGCUGUCCCCAGUCCACCUGACUGUGCUGCUGCUCCAGUUUCAACUGUUCUGCCUUAUUAUUAUUCCACCAUGCUGGUCAUUUAUGAACAUUUGAACAUCUUGGCCAUGUUCUGUUAUAAUCUCCACCCGGCACAGCCAGAAGAGGACUGGCCACCUCCACAUAGCCUGGUUCCUCUCUAGGUUUCUUCCUAGGUUUUGGCCUUUCUAGGGAGUUUUUCCUAGCCACCGUGCUUCUACACCUGCAUUGCUUGCUGUUUGGGGUUUUAGGCUGGGUUUAUGUACAGCACUUUGAGAUAUCAGCUGAUGUACGAAGUGCUAUGUAAAUAAAUUUGAUUUGAUUAGAUUUGAUUUGGUGUAUUUGAUACCAUUCCACUUCAGCCAUUACCACAAGCCCGUUCUCCCCAAUUAAGGAGCCACCAACCUCCUGUGCUGUACACUGUUUUAACAGGCUUUAUCACAGUUGCAGCCGACAGUAUUUCUCAGU